rnacentral:rRNA from 1 species
AGUCGAAACUAAUUAGACAUAAAAAAAGCAGUUAAAUACCUAAUCAAAUUAUAAUCAAAUUAUAAGUUAAAGAAUAACUACACUUAUAAAUAAUAAAAUAUUGAUUAUUAUUUAUAAUGUUUUACUUUAUUUAAAAUUAGAC